UCCUACCAAAUUAUAGAUAUCAAAACCUUUCAAGAAGUAAAAAUCAAAUUCCUUUCUUUACAAUCGCACUAGAAAAUCUUUACACCAAAUAAACUAUCCUUAAAUAAAAUUAUUCCUACUUCCAAACAUGGUCUAAGUAAAUUAACGAGAUAAACCAUGUAAGUUGUUCAUGUAUCCGAGCAGCCGUGGGCGAUUGAAAGCUAACUGUGAUUUUUCACUUCUUUAAAGAUUUUGACAUUCAUAAUUUAAUAGAAUGACAUAUUUUAAGCUACAAAGUUAAUUUAUUUUACACCAAAAAACAAUUUAGAGACUAAAUAUGGCAUACCAAUCUAGACAUUUGAUCAAACUCCUCAUCUAUCAGAAACUCCAACCUUCUUAAGUAAAUCAAUA
rnacentral:lncRNA from 1 species